rnacentral:rRNA from 1 species
CACGAGAAAGUGGAGCAAUCCAUGAGUACAGUGGCGUACGGGUGAGUAACACGUGGAUCAUCUACCUCUUGAUGGGGAAUAACCCUGGGAAACCGGGGCUAAUACCGCAUAAGCCUGUAAAGGGAAAGCAGCAAUGCGUCGAGAGAGGAGUCCGCGGCCGAUUAGCUAGUUGGUAGGGUAAUGGCCUACCAAGGCAAUGAUCGGUAGCCGGCCUGAGAGGGCACACGGCCACACUGGCACUGAAACACGGGCCAGACUCCUACGGGAGGCAGCAGUGGGGAAUCUUGCACAAUGGAGGAAACUCUGAUGCAGCGACGCCGCGUGAGCGAUGAAGCCCUUCGGGGUGUAAAGCUCUUUCGGCAGGAACGAUAAUGACGGUACCUGAAGAAGAAGCUGCGGCUAACUACGUGCCAGCAGCCGCGGUAAUACGUAGGCAGCAAGCGUUGUUCGGAAUUACUGGGCGUAAAGAGUGUGUAGGCGGUUCUCUAAGUUCCGUGUGAAAUCUCCCGGCUCAACUGGGAGGGUGCGCGGGAAACUGGAGGGCUCGAGUAUGGGAGAGGAAAGCGGAAUUCCUGGUGUAGCGGUGAAAUGCGUAGAUAUCAGGAGGAACACCUGCGGUGUAGACAGC